GGAUUGGCUACUGUAAUAAUUACUGUAAAUCCCUCCCUUGCAUGGGAGCAUGCUUUAUAAGGAGACUGUGAUUAAAGGCUUGUCAGUUCUGCUCCUGAAACUGUGUGUCGUCCAGUUAUUGGGAUUGCUGUGGGGAUAUUGCUGUGUUUUACUUGCUGGAAACCUUGCCUUUGGAUUUAUUAUUUACUUGUUCCUGAGCCUCACUUGGAUUACAAGCGGAGAUAACCUGGGGAAUAUUG